rnacentral:lncRNA from 1 species
AUUAAACUUUUUUUUAAAAAAAAUAGGCUUAUUGAAAUUUAUGUAUUGGUGGAGAAAGAUAUGAUAAGAAAACUUGAUUAAUGAAGGUCUAUGGUUGAAGAUUUGCUGUCUACAAAUUAAGUAUGCGAUCUGAAGUGGUGGACGUGAAUCUCACACGUCUGCAUCACAACUUCUAUAUAGGCUUUAGCAUAAAAAACAAAAAUAUUGUUCUAACUCCAAUCAUGAUAGUAAUCAUAUGAGUUGAGCUGGAAUGCUAUCAGUAGCAAACGGGUUUCUUUGCCAUCCAUUUAUUUUCGAUGAUAGAGCUUCAAUCGAUAAUCGGUAUCGUUGAAUAUAAUUUAUGCCACUUAAAGAAUCUAGAAAUUAAAUUUCAAUUUUUUUUUACAUUAUUGACUUAAUGAUCAAAGGGUUUAAAAUUUAUAAUUUUAAUGAUCAAUGUGAGACGUUUUCUCGUUUAACGAUAUAAAGAUAUCCAAAUCAAUUGAAUUUUUGUUAGAAAAUUCUUUAAACUAUUUAGAGCAAGAUUAUACCCUUGAUUUUGAUUACAAGAUUCCUAUCAUCACUUUCUAGAGAAUAUAUAUUUUCAGCUGUUUAUUUUUGUGUCUACUUAAUAGACAAGAGAACAAUAUCGAACAAGUAUAAAAUUUGGUUUCUAGAUGUUUCAAGUGGAUAGAUCGUGUUCAACAACGCCGAUCGUUGAUUUGGAGGCUCCAUCAUCGAAAACAAAUGAGUAGCAACGGAACCCGUUUGCUGUGGCAUUCCAGCUCAACUCAUAAUCAUACAACAAAAUUUGAACUCAUCUCCUAUGCCUAAAGAUAUUA